AUGCGGAUCUCCGGUGGGCAGGCGCUGGGGGAGGAAGCGGCCAGCGUGGUGCGGCAGGCGGUGAGCCUGGCGGAGCAGCGGGGGCACAGGCAGGUAACCCCGCUACACAUGGUCAGCGCCAUGCUCUCGGCGUCCCCGGCAUGCAUCCUACGCGCCGCCUGCCUCAGCUCCCAGUCCCACCCGCUGCAGCACAAGACGCUCGACCUCUGUCUAGACCUCGCGCUCAACCAGCUCGCCAUGGCCGUGAGCCGCCGCGGUGGCGACCACGUCGAACCUGCGCGGUCCAACGCCUUCACGGCCGCGCUGAAGCGAGCGCAGGCGCACGGUCGCAGCGGCGCCGUGGGCGGCGACAAGGUUGAGCUCGAGCAGCUCGUCCUCUCCAUCCUCGACGACCCCAGCGUCGACCGCGUCAUGCGCACGGCCGGCUUCUCGAGCUCUCAGGUCAGGGCCAGCGUCGUUUCGUUGCAGGCUUCAUCUCUCCAAACCGUCCCGGAGCUUCACCUGCCAGUCGUGCCCGACAACGUCCCAGACGGAAGGCUGAUUACCGCCGGCCGAAGUUCACGGAGCUCACCGCACACAAUCUCAAGAUCCUGUGCGACGCGCUCGAACUGCGAGUUCCCUGGCACGGGAACAUCGUUCCCGGAAUAUCGAGCACGGUGCUCCAGUGCCGAUCCGGCGUGA
rnacentral:rRNA from 1 species